rnacentral:rRNA from 1 species
UGAGAGGACGCAGACAGGUAAGCCAGCCCACGAUUGGUAGUGUGGGUGUAAGCUGGUAGGCGAUGAGGCCGGUAGGGAAAUCCGCUGGCUGAGCCGAGAAGCGAAAGCGAGCCUUAAAGGCAGAAGUGGCCUAACCUGGCUGCCGAGAAAAGUCUCUAAACGAUGAGAUGUAAGCGCCCGUACCACAAACCGACACAGGUAGACGAGUAGAGAAUACUAAGGCGAACGGGAGAACCUUCGUUAAGGAAUUAGGCAACAUGACCCCGUAACUUAGGGAGAAGGGGUGCCCUCCGAUGUGAAGCUCGCACGAGUGGAGCGUUGGAGGGUCGCAGUGAAAUGGCUCUAGUGACUGGUUAACAAAACCACAGGUCUCUGCAAAGCCGAAAGGCGAUGUAUAGGGGCUGACACCUGCCCGGUGCCGGAAGGUUAAGGGGAGAGGCUAGCGCAAGCGAAGCUUUGAACCGAAGCCCCGGUGAACGGCGGCCGUAACUAUAACGGUCCUAAGGUAGCGAAAUUCCUUGUCGGGUAAGUUCCGACCCGCACGAACGGUGUAACAACUAGAGCACUGUCUCAACGAAGGACCCGGUGAAAUUGAAAUAGGCGUGAAGAUGCGUCUUACCCGCAGCAGGACAAAAAGACCCCGUGGAGCUUUACUGUAGCUUGGCAUUGAGUUUGGGGACGAUCUGUGUAGGAUAGGUGGGAGGCAGAGAAGCUGGGGCGUUAGCCUCGGUGGAGCCGCCGGUGAAAUACCACCCUGAUCGUGUCUAGACCCUAACCCCACACCAUGAACUGGGUGGGGGACCGUGCCAGGUGGGCAGUUUGACUGGGGCGGUCGCCUCCUAAAAGGUAACGGAGGCGCCCAAAGGUUCCCUCAGGUUGAAUGGAAACCAACCGAAGAGUGUAAAGGCAUAAGGGAGCUUAACUGCAAGACCAACGCGUCGAGCAGAUACGAAAGUAGGGCUUAGUGAUCCCACGGUACCGAGUGGAAGGGCCGUGGCUCUACGGAUAAAAGCUACCCCGGGGAUAACAGGCUGGUGAAGUCCAAGAGUUCACAUCGACGACUUCGCUCGGCACCUCGAUGUCGGCUCAUCGCAUCCUGGGGCUGGAUAAGGUCCCAAGGGUCGGGCUGUUCGCCCGUUAAAGCGGUACGCGAGCUGGGUUCAGACCGUCGUGAGACAGGUCGGUCUCUAUCCGCUGUGGGCGCAAGGGAUUUGAGAGGAUCUGCCCCUAGUACGAGAGGACCGGGGUGGACGGACCUCUGGUGUGUCAGUUGUCGUGCCAACGGCAUCGCUGAGUAGCUAUGUCCGGCAAAGAUAACCGCUGAAAGCAUCUAAGUGGGAAACUUGCCUCAAGAUGAGAUCCCUCAUCCGCAAGGAGUAAGGUCGCAGGAAGACCACCUGCUUGAUAGGCAGCAAGUGUAAGCACAGCAAUGUGUUCAGCUAAGCUGUUCUAAUGACCGAGGGCUUACUGUG